UGCAAGUCGAGCGACUGAUUAGAAGCUUGCUUCUAUGACGUUAGCGGCGGACGGGUGAGUAACACGUGGGCAACCUGCCUGUAAGACUGGGAUAACUUCGGGAAACCGAAGCUAAUACCGGAUAGGAUCUUCUCCUUCAUGGGAGAUGAUUGAAAGAUGGUUUCGGCUAUCACUUACAGAUGGGCCCGCGGUGCAUUAGCUAGUUGGUGAGGUAACGGCUCACCAAGGCAACGAUGCAUAGCCGACCUGAGAGGGUGAUCGGCCACACUGGGACUGAGACACGGCCCAGACUCCUACGGGAGGCAGCAGUAGGGAAUCUUCCGCAAUGGACGAAAGUCUGACGGAGCAACGCCGCGUGAGUGAUGAAGGCUUUCGGGUCGUAAAACUCUGUUGUUAGGGAAGAACAAGUACGAGAGUAACUGCUCGUACCUUGACGGUACCUAACCAGAAAGCCACGGCUAACUACGUGCCAGCAGCCGCGGU
rnacentral:rRNA from 1 species